rnacentral:rRNA from 1 species
UACGAAGGGGGCUAGCGUUGCUCGGAAUUACUGGGCGUAAGGGGAGCGUAGGCGGACAUUUAAGUCAGGGGUGAAAUCCCGGGGCUCAACCUCGGAAUUGCCUUUGAUACUGGGUGUCUUGAGUAUGAGAGAGGUGUGUGGAACUCCGAGUGUAGAGGUGAAAUUCGUAGAUAUUCGGAAGAACACCAGUGGCGAAGGCGACGCACUGGCUCAUUACUGACGCUGAGGCUCGAAAGCGUGGGGAGCAAACAGGAUUAGAUACCCGUGUAGU